UACGUAGGGUGCAAGCGUUGUCCGGAAUUAUUGGGCGUAAAGAGCUCGUAGGCGGUCUGUCACGUCGGACGUGAAAAUCCAGGGCUCAACCCUGGACCUGCGUUCGAUACGGGCAGACUAGAGUUCGGUAGGGGAGACUGGAAUUCCUGGUGUAGCGGUGAAAUGCGCAGAUAUCAGGAGGAACACCGGUGGCGAAGGCGGGUCUCUGGGCCGAAACUGACGCUGAAGCGCGAAAGCUAGGGGAGCGAACGGG
rnacentral:rRNA from 1 species